GACGAACGCUGGCGGCGUGCUUAACACAUGCAAGUCGAACGGAAAGGCCCUGCUUUUGUGGGGUGCUCGAGUGGCGAACGGGUGAGUAACACGUGAGUAACCUGCCCUUGACUUUGGGAUAACUUCAGGAAACUGGGGCUAAUACCGGAUAGGAGCUCCUGCUGCAUGGUGGGGGUUGGAAAGUUUCGGCGGUUGGGGAUGGACUCGCGGCUUAUCAGCUUGUUGGUGGGGUAGUGGCUUACCAAGGCUUUGACGGGUAGCCGGCCUGAGAGGGUGACCGGCCACAUUGGGACUGAGAUACGGCCCGGACUCCUACGGGAGGCAGCAGUGGGGAAUAUUGCACAAUGGGCGGAAGCCUGAUGCAGCAACGCCGCGUGCGGGAUAACGGCCUUCGGGUUGUAAACCGCUUUCGCCUGUGACGAAGCGUGAGUGACGGUAAUGGGUAAAGAAGCACCGGCUAACUACGUG
rnacentral:rRNA from 1 species